UUCCGGUCAUAUUGCUUACCAGUAACUCGAGGAAGCUCCUCUAAGUAAAGUCCGGACAAGUUACCGCAGCUCCAAAAUGAUGGCAUCGAGUUUCAGGGACUGCAAGGCAUGGAUUGCAGAAGGUCUUCCGUUGUCCACCAGCAGUAAUGAGGCGUGUAAACUAUAUGAUGCCAUCCUUACUCAGUAUGUGAAAUGGCGGAAUGAUGAGACCGUGGGCGGGUUUGAAGGAUGCUUUUCUGCUAUCCAGGCAGCUGACCCUAACUUUGUCAUGGGCCACGUGAUCACUACGGGUCUGGAGCUGAUGUCCACGGCGAGCUCCCCCCGUCUGAACGAGAGCCUGGCCAGCGCUGUGAGGCGGACAGUGGAGCUGGCCACCAGCCAGGUCCUCUCUCCUCGAGAGAGGCUCCACGUCAAGGCCAUAGAGCACUAUUCACAUGGACGCUUUACGAAGGCCUGCGAUGUAUGGGAGUACAUUCUGGUGGACCACCCCACUGAUCUGCUGGCUCUCAAGUUUGCUCAUGAUGGUUACUUCUACGUUGGAGCCCAAGCCCACCUUCGGGACUCUGUGGCCCGGGUGCUGCCCCACUGGAAACCGCACACGCCUUUGUUCAGCUAUCUGAAAGGAAUGUAUUCCUUUGGGCUCCUGGAGACUCGCGCCUAUGACCAGGCUGAGAAAGUAGCCAUGGAGGGCCUCGCUCUGACUCCGGAUGAUGCGUGGUCUGUUCACGCUGUCGCCCAUGUUUAUGAGAUGAAAGCAGAGGUGGACAAAGGCUUGAAAUUCAUGGAAAGCAGAGAGAAAGACUGGCAGGUGUCUGACGUGCUGGCCAGUCAUAACUAUUGGCAUUGGGCUCUAUACUUCAUCGAGAAGGGGCAAUACGAAGCCGCUCUGCAAAUAUUCGAUUCUCAGGUGUUCAGACGUUGCAAAACGACGGGAUCUAUGUUGGACACUGUGGACGCCAGUUCAAUGCUCUGCAGGCUGGAAAUGGAGGGCGUGUGCGUGCAGGACCGCUGGCGAGAGCUGCUCCAGGUAACGCGGCCUCACACCGACGAUCACGUGACCUUGUUUAACGACCUCCACUUCCUCAUGGUGUCGCUGGGAGCCAAAGAGAGCGGGACGUCUCAGCGCCUGCUGGAGGGCCUCCAGGAAUUGGCUAAAGAGCCAGGGGACAAUCAACAGCAUCAGCUGGCGAGGACGACCGGCGUGUCCAUGUGUCAGGCCCUGAUGGAGUACGACCAGGGCCACUACGAUCGAACCGUGGAAUUACUGUACCCUUUGCGCUACCGCGUGGUAAAUAUAGGGGGCAGUGAUGCACAGAGGGAUGUCUUCAAUCAACUGCUUAUUCAUGCAGCCGUGAAAUCGGAGAAUAAGCACCAUCAGAAACUGGGAAGAUGUCUGCUGAUGGAGCGCGACGCCAUGAGGCCGAACUCCCUCCUGACAGACCGCCUGAUGCAGAGAGCGCUGGCUCUUCACAGCUAGACGGAUCGCUCCACGUCCACGUCAGCGCCGCGGUCUGAUGUUCUGCUUUAAGAAAGACCCGUUUACCAACCAGCGGAAAUGUGGCACGGUUGCCAUAACAUCCAAACUUUUAUACAGCACCUUUUCAAUGUGGAGCUCGGUGCUCUUUUAGAUGCAGAUCUGUUAAGCUCUAAUCUUUGGGGACCCAACCAGCCAGAUAUGAGAGACCGAUCAGGCAAAAGAUCCAGUAGCAGAGCUACACGCUGUGGAGGAAUGCAACGUGACAGCCACCGAAUCAUUUUGAUAAGUAAGCGCGCUGAUUAUUUAGAGGCAGCAUUUUGAUAAGUGCUUAUUUCAUUUCAUGGCCGAUCACACAUGUUUGACUUGACUUAUUAACAGUGCUUCAUGUUGUAUUUUAGGUGUGUUGUGCACCGGUGCUCCGCGAGUAGGAGGCAUAAAAGCUCACAUUAUCGCACGCAGACUUCCACCUCGGCUGCACAUUAACCUGAGCUUUCGGUCUAGAACAGUGCAAUAAAUGAAUAAUGUGCAGUUAAAAAUUUAUUAUCCCAGUGUGCCUAGUUAUUGCUGUCGAGGUAUAACCCUCCAUUUUAAAUCAGUUCUAUCCCAGUGGACUCGCAUUAACCCUACACCCUGUUGGUUUCUUUUAGAAAAUGAAUUUAAUAAAAUUCCUUUUUUCUUUUCUCUUCCCCCUUCUG